rnacentral:rRNA from 1 species
UGGGGAAUAUUGGACAAUGGGGGGAACCCUGAUCCAGCCAUGCCGCGUGUGUGAAGAAGGCCUUUUGGUUGUAAAGCACUUUAAGCGAGGAGGAGGCUACUCUAGUUAAUACCUAGGGAUAGUGGACGUUACUCGCAGAAUAAGCACCGGCUAACUCUGUG